rnacentral:rRNA from 1 species
UGGGGAAUUUUGGACAAUGGACGAAAGUCNGNUCCAGCCAUGCCGCGUGCGGGAAGAAGGCCUUCGGGUUGUAAACCGCUUUUGUCAGGGAAGAAAUCCUUUGAGCUAAUACCUCGGGGGGAUGACGGUACCUGAAGAAUAAGCACCGGCUAACUACGUGCCAGCAGCCGCGGUAAUACGUAGGGUGCAAGCGUUAAUCGGAAUUACUGGGCGUAAAGCGUGCGCAGGCGGUUAUGUAAGACAGAGGUGAAAUCCCCGGGCUCAACCUGGGAACUGCCUUUGUGACUGCAUAGCUUGAGUGCGGCAGAGGGGGAUGGAAUUCCGCGUGUAGCAGUGAAAUGCGUAGAUAUGCGGAGGAACACCGAUGGCGAAGGCAAUCCCCUGGGCCUGCACUGACGCUCAUGCACGAAAGCGUGGGGAGCAAACAGGAUUAGAUACCCUGGUAGUCCACGCCCUAAACGAUGUCAACUGGUUGUUGGGAAGGUUCCUUCUCAGUAACGUAGCUAACGCGUGAAGUUGACCGCCUGGGGAGUACGGCCGCAAGGUUG